rnacentral:rRNA from 1 species
UACGGGGGGGGCAAGCGUUGUUCGGAAUUACUGGGCGUAAAGGGCUCGUAGGUGGCCAACUAAGUCGGACGUGAAAUCCCUCAGCUUAACUGGGGAACUGCGUCCGAUACUGGAUGGCUUGAGUUUGGGAGAGGGAUGCGGAAUUCCAGGUGUAGCGGUGAAAUGCGUAGAUAUCAGGAGGAACACCGAUGGCGAAGGCAGGUCUCUGGGCUGACACUGACGCUCAUGCACGAAAGCGUGGGGAGCAAACAGG